rnacentral:lncRNA from 1 species
UGGGUUCAAAGGUAGUGGAGGAACAAAUUGUCCUCCGGAUGCCAUUGACGGCAGAUGUACUUGCACAUUGCCAAGCAGCUCCUGAUCAUUAAAGAAAGAAUGAUCAGCAAAUUUUUCAUUUAACAUGUUUUGAAAAUCUGACCAAAGUAAGCAUCCACGUAGAUAAAACAUUUUAAAUACCAAUUUUGAACAAUAAGGUUUA